UGGAGCAUGCCGCGUGCAUGACGAAGGCCUUCGGGUUGGAAAGUCUUUCUGUUGGGAGGUAAGGCCAAUGCGUAUACCCUUGUUCCUUGACGUUACCCGCAAAGAAAGGCCGGCUAACUACGUGCCAGCAGCCGCUAUAAUAA
rnacentral:rRNA from 1 species